UAGUGUUCAUCAUGGCGAGCAGAUGGCACCAGGAGAAAUGGAGCCCCUGGCCAGUGUGAGUCGUAGCACUGCAGCAGGGGAGACCCUGGAGGAGAGCAGAGAGCCCGCCUAACCACAGAAUGAAUUUUCCAGAGGCUUAGGAGGAGGAAGUUCUCCG
rnacentral:lncRNA from 1 species